rnacentral:rRNA from 1 species
UACGGAGGGUGCAAGCAUUAAUCGGAUUUACUGGGCGUAAAGGGCGCGUAGGCGGAACAGAAAGUCAUAUGUGAAAUCCCAAAGCUCAACUUUGGGGCUGCAUCUGAAACUUCUGAUCUAGAGUUAAAGCGGAGAAAAUGGAAUUUCCCAUGUAGCGGUGAAAUGCGUAGAUAUGGGAAGGAACAUCGGUGGCGAAAGCGGUUUUCUAGCUUUAAACUGACGCUGAGGCGCGAAAGCGUGGGGAGCAAACAGG